rnacentral:lncRNA from 1 species
AAUCCUAAGCUCUCUCUCUCCAGAAUAGUAUGAAGCAUAGCCAUCAACAAUGGCUUAGAAACAGUAAAAUAAGGUUUCUGGUCGUCAAAGGGUAUUCUAGUAAUUUGGGUUUGAUUAUAGGCUUCAGCGUCCAUAAAAUAUGCUCAGCCCAUAUUCUGGCAUCACUGUCGAUCGACACCAAUGCUGCAACAUCGAUCGACAGUCUUUCAUCUCCUCGACAGCUUCCUCUCGCUAGGCAGAAUGACCACUCUUCGGUAAACCGAGCAUAACUGCUGCUACAGGAUGCGGAUUGACCUCAAACCGGUGGCAUUGGAAAGCUAACUCAACCCUCUAUCUUGUGUCAAAAGAUGGGCUCAAUCUAACAGUGGCAAGUUCUCCAUCCAUAGCUAGACAUCUGAUGCGUCUGUGCAGUAUUACAUAUAUCAACCUAUUGAGAAACCUAAACCUAACAGCAAGAACUACUCAGACAUAUUCACAAAGCACAUAGUUAUGAUGGUCUGAAUAAUACCCAAUAGAUAAAUAAAAACAGAAUAGAGUAAGAAACAAAGGGAAUUCAAGAUCUUCCCUCUCUCAAGGUGUACAGAUCUCUCUCUCCAAUCCUAAGCUCUCUCUCUCCAGAAUAGUAUGAAGCAUAGCCGUCAACAAUGGCUUAGAAACAGUAAAAUAGGGUUUCUGGUCGUCAAAGGGUAUUCUGGUAAUUUGGGUUUGAUUAUGGGCUUCAGCGAUCAUAAAAUAUGCUCAGCCCAUAUUCUGGCAUCACUGUCGAUCGACCCCAAUGC